UAAAACCAGCACCUCAAGUGGUCAGGAGGAUUAUUGGGCCUAAAGCACCCGUAGCCUGUUCUAUAAGUUUGCGGUUAAAUCCAUAUGCUCAACAUAUGGGCUGCCGUAAAUACUGUAGAACUAGGGAGUGGGAGAGGUAGACGGUACUCGAUAGGAAGGGGUAAAAUCCUUUGAUCCAUUGAUGACCACCUGUGGCGAAGGCGGUCUACCAGAACACAUUCGACGGUGAGGGAUGAAAGCUGGGGGAGCAAACCGGAUUAGAUACCCGGGUAGUCCCAGCUGUAAACGAUGCAGACUCGAUGAUGCAAUGGCAUAGAGCUAUUGUAGUAUCGCAGGGAAGCCGUUAAGUUUGCCGCCUGGGAAGUACGUACGCAAGUAUG
rnacentral:rRNA from 1 species